GUAUGCACUACUGAUUUAAAUUCUAUCAUGCGGUCAUAUAAUCUCAUAACUCCUAUAAGGAAUACAAAAUUAAGACUUGUGCAAAUACGGACCCCUGGACGUACCAGAGGUGGGAUCAGGUGCCAAGGAGAAGUAAGCAUCCCCUGUCGACCGGUUACACCCGCCGUGAGCUGUAUAUCUUGACCAGUUAAUCGGAGUGAUCCGAAGUCAAAUCAAAACGAGGGCAAGUUUUACAGCAACCUGUUUCGACGGAGGAAUAGUAGCACAGGGAUCCGAAUAUUUUGUGAACAUCCGUAAAUCCGAUAUAAUAUAAGUACAUAGAUAAACAGCUAUACCCGAGAAGGUAAGAGUAAGUUUACCUUUCUGUGUCCGCACUGUAGACCGUCGCCACCCACAGAAGAUGUACACUUCCCACUUCCGUCCGUUUUUUGGCACCACAGCGUUGAACAAAUGGUUGUGUAAUUGCCUUUAUACGGAAACUAUUGACAAAAUUCACAUGUGAUUGAUUUUUGUAUUGCUUUGAUUUUGGUAAAAUAUUUUUAAUUUCAUUUUUCAAUUGAUUGAUUGAUUGUAUAUUGUUUGACGUCCCUCUCGAGAAUUUUUCACUUAUAUGGAGACGUCACCAUUCCCGGUGAAGGGCUGCAAAUUUAAGCCUAUGCUUGGCGCUUACGGCCUUUGAAGAGGGAGGGGUCUUUAUCGUGCCACACCUGCUGUGACACGGGGCCUCGGUGUUUUCUGUCUCAUCCGAAGACAUUAGAAAGUAUAGAUAGCGAACUGUGAUAAAUCUCAUUAAUCUUGUUAAAAAUGCAAAUUAAGAGGAAAUAUUAAGGUAAAUAUUUAGCUCACUGCUUUCAAUUAUAGAAAAACUUAGUGAUAUAAUGAUCUGUUACAUUUAGAAAAAAAACCUUUCGAGAUUAACGACAGUGUGUAAAUGUUUAUUAUAAUAUUUCUAAGACCCUUGCUUGUCGAAAGCUCUGUCCGGAAAACAUCAUAGAAUGCCAUUUUGGCUGUACUUACUUUGCAGAAUGAUGACCCAGCGCCACGAAUAUGUUUACACUGAGCAUCGGCAUCAAAAAUCUGUCCCGGCAAACUUGUGAACUUGUUUAAAGCUGUAGGAUCAAAGGUUCCGCUCAGAGUUGUCAUGCAAUUAGAUCCACCACUGAUAAGAUAAAUGUAUUUAAACCUUAGCAUAUAUUGAACCUUAGACUUGCUCUAUUGCAAGUCUCUAUAUUUAAUUAUCAUUGCUGCAGAGCUGUAGCUCUCUGAAAAAAAUAUUGUGACGAAACAGAGAGCUACAGAUCCACCCCUUAUUAAAACCUUCAAUUUACGGCGCACGAAAAGUCGCAUCGCUCACCUGGGUCACCAUGGCCCUGUCAUUGUUCAGCUGUUGGGAUUUUAAAAAGAUUUUUUUUUAUUAAUCUUUAUUCCCAUGAAAUUGUUUUACCCCAUAUUGUGGCCCCAACGUACAUGUAGCCCCAAAGUAUCACAGCAUAAAUGAAAAUGAAUUCACAUUAUACAGAAAUGCCUCAACACUCAUAUAACUAACAUGAUCUUGCUGUUCUGAAUAAGACCAAUGUUAUAGAUUAUAACAUGAUAUGAAAACUUUGCCACAAGAAAUCUGCAUACAGAAUAUAAAAGCUCCACCUUAAACAGUUAAGGAGAUAUUGAAUAGGUAAUAUUUUUUAUUUUAUAAAAGUAGGUCAAAUCUCAAGGUCAAAGUCACAGGGUCAAACACUCAUGUACAUGAUGAAGGUCUUGGCAUAAAGAAUCUAUAUACAAAAUAUAACUGCUUUUUCUGAAACAGUACCGGAGAUUUUGAUCACAGGCACUUGGGUAUGGAUCAUGAUCACCCCCCCCCCCCCCCCCACCACACACACACACAAAUAUUAUCACCUGGCGAGGUUUGAACCAGGUGAGGCAGACGACGUGAAAAUUAUUGCAUGCCUUCCGUCUCUUCUUUUAAACACUUAUAACGUGAGCUUUACUAAUAUGUGACGAAGACGAAAAAAUAAUUUUUUUAGAGGUGUAUCCCCUUUUAGAUGAUCUUUAAUGCAUAUUAACAAUAUACAUAAGUAGAAAAAUAUAAGACUAGUGUGUCUAUCCUAAAUAAGAAAAAAAGGUGAUAGGCUGGGGGUGUGGGGAAUGAUUAUCAAGAGCCUGUGAUAUUGAUUAGGUCAGGGUUUUAAAGGUCACAAGAUCAAAUACGAUUGUAUGACAAGUUUUGUCAUAACAAUCUAUAUACAAAAGAUGAUAGCCCUACCUUGAAUAGUUCUGAAAAUAUUUUUAAAGAGAUUACAUUUUCUUAAAGGUAGGUCAAAUUUCAAGGUCACAAAGUCAAUGUACAUAGUAUGAAAUUCAAGGUCUUGUCAUAAGUCAUAAGAAAUCUAUAUACAACAUAUGAAAGAUCUACCUUGAACACGUCAAAGAUUUAAAAAGUAGGUCCAAAUUCAAGGUCACAAGGGCAAACUUCUCAAGUUAUAAGGUAGUGCCAUAAAGAACCUAUAUACACAUUACGAAAGCCCUAUUUUACAUAGUUCAGGAGAAAUUGAAUAAAUCAGGGGUUUUCUAAAAAGUAGGUCAACAUCAAGAUCAAAAGAUAAAACACCAUUGUGUACAAGGUCUUGCCAUGAAUAAUCCAUACACAAAAUAUGAAAGCCCCAUCUAAAAUAGUUCCGGAUAUAUUUAAUAGGUUAUGUUUUCUUAAAAGUAGGUCAAACUCUAAGUUCAAAGUUACAAUGUCAAAUAUUUUAUGAAAUGAAUGGUCUUGCCAUAAGAAAUAUAUGUACAAGAUAUGAAAGGUCUACCUUAAAUAUUUUGUGAUGUUUUAUAUAUAUAUAUAUAUAAAAUAGGAAUUAUAUGUUUUAAUGUAUUAUACCUGAGACAUUAUAUGCUGUGUGUGCGUGUGUGUAUUUCAUUAUUAUUAUUAUUUUAAUACGCCCUGAAACUGAUGUUUAUUCUUAUCUAACAUAUUUAUGGUAUCUUGUGUUUUCAUGUUUUAUAUGUACAAUGAGGAUAGGUACAGCUUUUAAUGUUUUAUUUAUUUUCUAUGUAUUAUGUGUAUAACAUUCUCUUGUAAGGUAUAUAUGCAUUGUAAAGCACUUUUGAGCGUACAUAGUGUAUGAAAAGGGUGCUAUAUAAAUAUGGUAUUAUUAUUUAUUAUU